rnacentral:lncRNA from 1 species
GGAUAUAUUCGCUCGACGAAAAUCUUUAAGGUGGCUGUACUUGAAAAAAACCUAGCUACUCAUAUAAAAUACGAAACAAUGAAAAAGUUAAGUACAGUGCACAUAAGUUUAGAAAAGUUUGAAAGUGCUCCUUUAGGUAGAACAGUGAUGGCGCAAAUGAGUCCUUGACUUUUUGUACACAAGGCCAUAAAGUGAAGCGUGGGUCCUUUAUCAGAUGUUUACG